UUUGUAGAGUCCGAGGUGGCGAUUAGUGGUGGUUGUUCUGAGCGGAAAACGAGGCGGGUUCCUACGGUAAGGGCGGGGCGGGCACUUGCGGGCUUGGUUGAGUGCGGUUCGAGGCCGUAGGUACCUGCGGUCGGAGGCGUGCGACAGGGGCAGGUCGAAGUGCCCCCUCCACGCGAGGCGCCACAGGAGGGAGGACGAGAGGGGGCCGCCGCGGUCGCGCGAGCUGUGGCAGAAGAGGGUGGAGGGCGGGGGGCAGUGGUAGGGCGGCGAGCCGAGGUCGCAGAUGAUGGCGGUCUCGCUCGAGGAGGCGUCGAAGCGGCGGUGCGUCGGCGUGGUGGUAGAACGCCGCCGCCGUCGGUCGAGGAGCAGCAGCCCGAUGCGCGAGGGAAAAGGGCCGCGCCGCCUGCGCCGCCGCCCCUCCUUCUACAUGGCGCCGCACGCCGUCGCCGUCACCCCGUUCACCCACCGCCUCUAGGCCGACGGCGUCUUGGCCCACGCGCAGACCGAGCCGUGGAUGCUCAGCGGGCUCUGGCGGCGCGUGCGGAUGCUGGCGCGGCGGAAGGCCGAGGCGCCGCUCAUGCGCGCGGAGUUGAAGGGGCCGCAGUACCUGCCGCGGCUGCUGCGGGCGAAGGGGCUGCGGGAGGCGGUCGAGGCGCUGCGGCAGCUGCGGUUCUAGGUCCGGUAGGCGCAGGCGUACCGGGCGUUCGCGCGCGCGCGGUCCGCCGACGCGCUCCUCCGGUUCGUCGUCGUCUUGUUGUGGUGGUGGGUCGCGCGGCCCAGGCGGCUCCGGCGGGGACGCGGCGGGUGCCGGGGAGCGGGGCAGCAGAGGCUCUCGCGGUGCUGCAGGCUCUGCUGCUGCAGCAGCAUGCCCAGCGGCCUCCCCCACGAGAGGCGCCGGCUGAAGCUCACGAGCGAGGUCGCCUACGGCAGGAAGCUGGGCCUCGACUAGACCCUCUACGAGUUGAAGAUCGGUCAUCUUGAUCUGGCCAGGCUCCGCGCCUGUCUGCGUUUCGGUUGGUCGUGCGUGGUUCCAGGUAGGUAGGUAGGGUAGGGUAGGGUAGGGUAAGUACCGCACCUCACCUGUACCACCGCCACGGACAGACAGCCUCGGCUCGAGCAUCCUAGCUAACUAAGAGGUACACAACCCUCCCUCCUAGUGUCAAUUGGACAGUGAUAUGCUCGUUAUUUUACGGGCCCUUUUAGCCCGCAGAGGAUCUCUCAUCUCUGAUAUGAGGAUUAAUGAUCAUGAUCGUUGACGUAAGACGUAGACAGCACAGCACAGCACAGCACCCAAAACCG
rnacentral:rRNA from 1 species